UCUCCUACUCGUGGAAACCCUAUCCCUUCUCCUUCAAAGAAAAAUUUUUCUUUUCAGCCCUAAUCUUCAAUACAUCUGCAUCUUGCUCAUGUAAAUUGGGUGACCGACAUUUUCAGGCUUGAGUUUGGAAGGUCGAAUUGCUAAGCAGCGCCCUUGUGACAACAAAUUUCUGUUAUCGUUGUUGAGUGAAAAAUUAAAAACAAAAGAGAUUUUUUCAAGCGAAACACGAAUUUGAAAUUCAAGAACAAAGUUUCAACUCAUUUUUAGAAUGAUCAAUCCCCUGAUAGCCAGAAUCAGCUUCUUCAAUACAUGUAGCAGCCUGACUUCCUCACAUCUUUUUCUAUUCAGCUUCUGAUCAAGAUAACAUGUGGUCAUUAAAGAAAGGUGGUCAAAAAGAUUAUAAAAGAAUAUUAUAAAGUAAAUGAAAAAGUAUUUAUUUUUAAGUAGAAAAUAGAAGAGGUUGUAACCCACCCUUGUUAUCCCAUUGGAGCCAAAAUCGUAACCCAGGUUUUCCUUGGCGGUGCUACCAACGAAACGGUAAACCACCCAUGUUAUUUUGUUCUAAAACAUUUUUGGUACUUAUGUAAUAGAUAAUCAAAAGAAGAAGUAGAAGUACUGAAAAUAUAUGGCUAUUUUAUGGAUUGGAAAGAAAUUGAGUCAAUCCUUCCCACACAUUAUUUCUCGUAAAUCUCUUAAAUAUUCAAAACAAAUUGUAACUUUCUUCUUCGAUUCAUUGUGGGAUUAUGCCAAUAGAGGCAAUGUUGAAGGUUUAAAAUUGAUCUUCCUAUUUCAAUGUCUUGUAUUGUAAUUGAUCAAAGUUAGGAUCAUCUUAUUAUGAAAUUGAAUUAUACUUGAUUGAAUAGGAAGUAACUUGACUUGUAAAGUUAGAAUUUAACCUUUAUGGUCAAUUAGGAUCGGAAUCACUUAGUAAUGAAAGAUGUGAUCAAAUUACCUUGAAAUAUAGGUAUGAAGAAGAGAUUAAGAAAGAAACCUUCAAAGUAGGAUUUAUGAUCAUGAUGGCUAGGGGCCUUAUGGUGAUGCUAAUGUGAUUAACUAAUGAUGUAAAGGCUUUAAUAGUAAAAUAUACAUAUAAAUACCUACCUAGAUAACCUUAUCAAUUAUAGAUGGUAGGAAGUGAUAGAAUCACUUAGGUCAUGAUGAUAUCCUUGUCUAAUGAAAAACUCUAGACACAAGUUAAACAUGAAUAUGAACUUAACAUUAAAGACUACUCACAUAGUAUUGGUUCUAGGGUUGAAUGACUUCUCCUAACUAAUUGAACCUAAGGCUAGAGAGCAUUUAUGCCUAGGUCAUGAAUGGUUAUAGUUGCUCACACAUGGUGUAAAAGAGGUAUUAGCAUGGGUUGGUGGUCAAUAACACCUUUCCAUUUACUUGAGUCCAAGUAGAGACUCAAUGAUUAUUUUGUGGGAUUUAUGUCUAGCACGGAGGAUAUUGCAAUGAGAAAAAAGGUUCCCACCUAUAUGAGUUUGGGAUUUCAUAGAGGUUCCCACCUAGUUAGUUUGGGCUUUUCACAGGGAUCUCUCACCUAGAAGAGUAUUGAGUUCCCCAACCGUGUCUCAUGAGAUUGAAGCUUCACCUAGUAGAGUUCGGAUUUCUUGAAGCAAUUUUCGUAUCCCUUAACUACAUGCCCGCCGUUGGAAGUUAGCUAGUGGAUCCGACUAAGCUAGUAAAUUGAUUCCACUUGGCUAGUGAACCACCCUUUGAUGGUGUAGGUAACACCAUGAGAGAUCAUAUGUUCUCAUGUCGGAUAAGGUUAUACCCCAAUUAAACAAGAUUAGUAAUGAACUAAGAUUUUGCUAAAUGUAGCAUAUCCUAGAGUUCAAACUAUAUGGGCUAAGAUUAUGCAUAAAGUAGCAUCUCCUAGAGUCUAAUGUCAGUAAUGAUCCAAGAUUAUACCUAGUGUAGUAUAUCCUAGGGUUCAACCUUAAUGAACUAAGAUGCACUUAGUAUAGUAUAUCCUAGGGUUCUAAUAAUGAGAAAUUAAGACAAAGUUAGUGAAGGACCUUAUAAUGUUUCAAGAGUAUAAAUAGACUAAGAUAUGCUUGUGUAGGGCCUCCUAGAGAACAUAACCAUAAUGAUCCUAGAUAUAAUAAAAGAAGUAUCUUAUAGGGUCCAAAUAUAUAAUGAACAUAGAUAAUGCUUGUUGACACCCAAUUUUGACCGGCUUUUUAACCAUUUUUAGGAAUACUAUUCAAUUAAAUACGUAUUUUAAAAUUUUAUUUAAAGCUUAAAAUUUUAGUCAAUAAGUUAUACA